rnacentral:rRNA from 1 species
AACGAACGCUGGCGGCAUGCCUAACACAUGCAAGUCGAACGAAGCCUUCGGGCCUAGUGGCGCACGGGUGCGUAACACGUGGGAAUCUGCCCUUAGGUACGGAAUAACUCAGGGAAACUUGAGCUAAUACCGUAUGAUGUCUUCGGACCAAAGAUUUAUCGCCUAAGGAUGAGCCCGCGUCGGAUUAGCUAGUUGGUGGGGUAAAGGCCUACCAAGGCGACGAUCCGUAGCUGGUCUGAGAGGGUGAUCAGCCACACUGGGACUGAGACACGGCCCAUGCUCAUACGGGAGGCAGCAGUGGGAAAUAUUGGACAAUGGGCGAAAGCCUGAUCCAGCAAUGCCGUGUGAGUGAAGAAGACCUUCGGAUUGUAAAGCUCUUUUACCCGGGAAGAUAAUGACUGUACCGGGAGAAUAAGCCCCGGCUAACUCCGUGCCAGCCGCCGCAGUAA